GUUAAUGUAGCUUAACCCAAAGCAUGGCACUGAAGAUGCCAAGAUGAGCCGUGAAAAGCUCCAAUAACA
rnacentral:tRNA from 1 species